rnacentral:lncRNA from 10 species
GGCAGAGGAGGCCCCGAGAGCGAGCGAGAGCUGUGAGGACUGCCAGCACGCUGUCACCUGUCACCAGCACUUUGGGAGGCUGAGGCUGGCAGAUCACUUGAGCUCAGGAGUUCCAGACCAGCCUGGGCAACAUGGCAAAACCCCCCGUCUCUCCAAAAAAAAACAAAAGUUGGCCAGGCAUAGUGGCACACGCCUGUAGUCCCAGUCAUUUGGGGUGCUGAAGCGGGAGGUUUGCUUGAGCCUGGGAGUCCAGGCUGAGACCACCACCUGCACUCCACACCACUGCACUCCAGCCUGGAUGACAGAGCCAGACCCUGUCUCAAAAAAUAUGUAUAUAUAACUCCUUCAUUUCACUUAUACUUUUGUUCUCCUUCCAGGAACGUUGUGUGGUAGCACUUUCCAUUUAAAUUUGUGCAUGGCUAUGUGAUGUCCUUCGGUCACUAGAAGAUGAAUAGAAACGUCCUGUGUUACCUCUUGGUGAAAGUCUUUAAGGCAGUGUGCAAUUAUGUUCUCUUUACCUGCCUUGGCUCCACCAUGUUGCAGAUGGUGCAGGCGGAGGCCUGUGUCUCUGAGAAGCCGAGGUCCUGACUGCCUGAGAUGAACAUGUCCUGUCUCUUUUGUGUCUCACUUUCUGAAGUUCUUGGGGUCAACAUAGAAGGUAAGAAUGCAACAGCACCCAUUAGAUGUAAUGCUGUUUAUCCAUAUGCAGUGGCGUGCUUGUGGUGACCUUUUCUAUAAAAGGAUGUUAACACCCCCUUGCUAUUGAACUCACAUGUGGUCAUGCAACUUACUAUGGCCAAUGAAAUGGAGCAAAAAUGAUACGUAAUUUGCUGCGUUUUCUCCCUUCCCCUUAGCAACUUUUAAAGUCUCAGAAAGAGGCUGCUAUGUCAUCCUGGGUCCUAGAGUCAAAGUGACAUGAGGAGAACUGCACCUGGCCCUUGAUGGUGAUGUAGGGUAAGAGAGAAACACAUCCGUAUUAUGUAAGCCUCUGAGAGUAUGGGGGUCAUUUGUUACGACAACCUGUUAUGUAACACAACAUCAAACCCACACAAUUUAGGAAACCCAAGUAAAUCGCAGAACUGAAUAUCCACGUGAUGACCAUUCUCACAGAAGUGGGGCCUGCUGGCCUGAUUGGUUAGGUUUAAGACCUUCCUGGGCCUGUGCUCCGCUACUUGUCCUAAAGAUCAGGACUAACAGGUGACAUUGUCCUGUUUGACUUCCGGCCUCCACAGGGCCUUGCUCCAAGGCAGUGCAUCAUUCCUGAUUAUUUGACUGCCUGGAUAGGUGGACUCGCUCUGCGUGUAGACCCAGCCAUGUAAGAUUUGGAAGGGAAGGAAUAAAGAGCAAGAGACUUCACUCAAGCCUCCUGACCUCCACCAUAUUUAUUCAGCUUAACUAUUCAUCUGACAAUGGGGCCUUCCUAGUUAUUGAUCAAGCAGUAUUUAGCUACUGUUCCUUGGUUGUGUGACACUUAGGAAUAAACCCCCAGAGGGAAGAUUGAAUGAGUCGUCUGAUUACCCCAAACCCCAGUGCAAACCUGGACUCCUUUGACUAUACACAGUCUACAUCAAUCAGUUUCCCAAACAAAAGCAGCAUUCCAAACAGACAGCGUGCUUGUGUAUUCACCCAUAUUAUUGUUACCAAGUAGCCCUUAGCAGAAAUUUAAUGUUGUCUUGAGGGAGAAGUAAACAGGGAACAAAAUAAAGAAUAAGUGCUCAGUUAAGACGCUUUAGAGACCUAUUUCAAAUUACUCUUUUUUCAAAUUAAAAAAAAAAAAGAGGUUUUGCUUUGAGGAUUAAUUGCAGGGAUGCUGAGUAAUGAAGCUAUAGAGCACAGCGUAGAGCCAAGACACAUCCACCCAGCUGCCUCCCCCAGGCAGUCACAUGGUGAGCAAGCGAAUAUGGCUGUCCUCAUUGGACUCACAUGCCUAAUUAUUAACACAUUAUAUAUCGUUGCCUACGUAGCUCUGCUAUCAGCAAUACAGUUUAAACAACUGGGCAGAAAGUUGUGGAGGACCACAAUAUAACAGUGUUUUUAAAUGAUUCUAUUUUCUACAAGUACUUCACAGUCAGAUAAUUCUCAUAAGAAAAAGCACUGAAGCUUGAAUGCCCAAACUGAAUAGAAUUUUCAGAAAUGGGAAUUGUGACUGUUUAAAGUAUAUUCCUUUUGGUUUUUUUUUUUUUCCUCUCUCUCUCUCUUCUCUGAUUCAAGACCUGCAUGAAUAAUUGGGUUUUUGGCUUGUUUGGGGGAAGACUUUCACAUUUGCAAAUUAAUGACCCAGUCCUAGCUGAGAUGGUAACAUCCAAAUACUUCAUUUAAUAAACAAACCCAUGUCUGGAUUUUUAAAAUAGCCCUAGACUAUGGAUUGGAUUGUCAUUCAUUUGUGCUCUAAGGCAUCAAUCCGUGACCGACUGAAGAGGAAACCUAACCGAGCACACGUGUCAGGACUGUUUAAAUGAAGGAAAGGAAUUCACUUGACUUUGAAACUGCAGUUAUUCAGAUAAGUCA